GACGUGAGGGGCGAGCGUUGUCCGGAUUUACUGGGCGUAAAGCGCGCGUAGGCGGCCCGUUAAGUCGGGAUGUGAAAACCCAGGGCUCAACCCUGGGCCUGCAUCCGAUACUGCAGGGCUGAGAGUGCAGAAGGGGCAACUGGGAAUUCUCGGUGUAGCGGUGGAAAUGCGUAGAUAUCGAGAGGAACACCUGCGGCGAAGGCGGGUUGCUGGGCUGACACUGACGCUGAUGCGCGAAAGCAUGGGGAGCGAACAGGG
rnacentral:rRNA from 1 species